rnacentral:rRNA from 1 species
AUAACGCCUUGCUACGCCACACCCACACGGGUACUCAGCAGUGAUUAACAUUAAAACAUGAGCGAAAGCUCGACUUAGUUAUGAUAAAAAUGGUUGGUAAAUUUCGUGCCAGCCACCGCGGUUACACGAAAAACCAAAAAUAAUAGCCCCCGGCGUAAAAAGUGACCCGAGCUCCGCCAACAAAUUAAAGAAAAACUACCACAAAGUUGUAAAACACUUGUUCGUAGGACCCCCAACAACAAAAUGACUUUAAACCAAAGGCCCCUUACCCCCACGAAAGCUAAGAAACAAACUAGGAUUAGAUACCCUACUAUGCUUAGCCGUAAACAUAGACAGUAAUAAACACAAUACUGUCCGCCAGAGAACUACAAGUGAAAAACUAGAAACUCCAAGGACUUGGCGGUGCCCCAUAUCAACCUAGAGGAGCCUGUCCUAUAAUCGAUAAUCCACGCUGCACCUUACCAUUUCUAGCAAUUCAGCCUAUAUACCGCCGUCGAAAGCUUACCCUAUGAAAGAAAUGAAGUAAGCAAAAUAGUUAAUAACUAAAACGUCAGGUCAAGGUGUAGCACAUGAAAUGGCAGAGAUGGGCUACAUUUUCUACCCUAGAAAACACGAACAGCACAAUGAAACCUGUCCUCAAAGGCGGAUUUAGCAGUAAGGCAAAAAAGAAACUUUUCCUAAAACCCGCUCUGGGGCGCG